UGCAUUCGAUACGGGCGAGAUUGGGUAUAGUAUGGGGAGUAUGGAAUUCCUAGAGUAGCGGUGGAUGCGAUGAUAUCAGGUAGCACAGGCGAUGCGAAGGCAGGACUCUGAACUAUUACUGACGAUGAGGAGGGAAGGCGUGCGGAGCGGACAGGAUUAGUUGCUCCUGUAGUCCACGCAGUAAACUGUGGACAUUAGUGGUGUGGACGUUCCACGGUCUCUGAGAUGCAGCAAUAGCAUUAAGUCCUCCGCAGGGGGAGUACGAUCACAAGAUUUAAACUCAAAGGAGUUGACGGGGCCCCGCACAAGCAGAGGUGCUUGAGUCUUAAUUAGACGCAACGCGAAGAACAUUACCAAGGCUUGUCAUAUACAGGAAUAUGGCAGAGAUGUCAUAGCUGCAAGGUAUGUAUGCAGGUGGUGCAUGGUUGUCGUCAGCUUGUGUCGUGAGAUGGUUGAGAAGUCCCGCAACGAGCGCAACCCCCGUUCUGUGUUGCCAGCAUUAAGUUGGGGACUCACAGGAGACUGCCGGGGUUAACUCGGAGGAAGGUGGGGAUGACGUCAAAUCAUCAUGCCCCUUAUGUACGGUGCUGCACUCAUGUUACAACAGAUGGGACAAAGGCCUCCGAUACCGCAAGGUGGAGAGAUUAUCAUAAAACCCGUCUCAAUUCGGAUUGGGGUUUGCAAAUCGACGCCAAGAAAUGGGAAAUGCUAGUAAUUGUAGAUCAACUACGCUACGGUGAAUACGUUCCCGGGGCUUGCACACCCCGCCCGUCACGUCAGGAAA
rnacentral:rRNA from 1 species